rnacentral:rRNA from 1 species
UACGGGGGGGGCAAGCGUUGUUCGGAAUUACUGGGCGUAAAGGGCUCGUAGGCGGUUUGUUGCGUCGGCUGUGAAAUCCCGAGGCUCAACCUCGGGUCUGCAGUCGAUACGAGCAAACUAGAGUGUUGCAGGGGAGACUGGAAUUCCUGGUGUAGCGGUGAAAUGCGCAGAUAUCAGGAGGAACACCGGUGGCGAAGGCGGGUCUCUGGGCAACAACUGACGCUGAGGAGCGAAAGCGUGGGGAGCGAACAGG